GACGAACGCUGGCGGCGUGCUUAACACAUGCAAGUCGAACGGAAAGGCCCUGCUUUUGUGGGGUGCUCGAGUGGCGAACGGGUGAGUAACACGUGAGUAACCUGCCCUUGACUUUGGGAUAACUUCAGGAAACUGGGGCUAAUACCGGAUAGGAGCUCCUGCUGCAUGGUGGGGGUUGGAAAGUUUCGGCGGUUGGGGAUGGACUCGCGGCUUAUCAGCUUGUUGGUGGGGUAGUGGCUUACCAAGGCUUUGACGGGUAGCCGGCCUGAGAGGGUGACCGGCCACAUUGGGACUGAGAUACGGCCCAGACUCCUACGGGGGGCAGCAGUGGGGAAUAUUGCACAAUGGGCGGAAGCCUGAUGCAGCAACGCCGCGUGCGGGAUGACGGCCUUCGGGUUGUAAACCGCUUUCGCCUGCGACGAAGCGUGAGUGACGGUAAUGGGUAAAGAAGCACCGGCUAACUACGUG
rnacentral:rRNA from 1 species